GACGAACGCUGGCGGCGUGCUUAACACAUGCAAGUCGAACGGAAAGGCCCUGCUUUUGUGGGGUGCUCGAGUGGCGAACGGGUGAGUAACACGUGAGUAACCUGCCCUUGACUUUGGGAUAACUUCAGGAAACUGGGGCUAAUACCGGAUAGGAGCUCCUGCUGCAUGGUGUGGGUUGGAAAGUUUCGGCGGUUGGGGAUGGACUCGCGGCUUAUCAGCUUGUUGGUUGGGUAGUGGCUUACCAAGGCUUUGACGGGUAGCCGGCCUGAGAGGGUGACCGGCGACAUGGGGACUGAGAUACGGACCAGACUCCUACGGGAGGCAGCAGUGGGGAAUAUUGCAAAAUGGGCGGAAGCCUGAUGAAGCAACGCCGCGUGCGGGAUGACGGCCUUCGGGUUGUAAACCGAUUUCGCCUGUGACGAAGCGUGAGUGACGGUAAUGGGUAAAGAAGCACCGGCUAACUACGUG
rnacentral:rRNA from 1 species